UACUAGAGUAGCACUCGCAUAUCAAUAAGCGGAGGAAAAGAAACUAACAAGGAUUCCCCUAGUAACGGCGAGUGAAGCGGGAAGAGCUCAAAUUUGAAAUCUUAAAGGGUUUCCCUUUACGAAUUGUAGUUUAAAGAAGUGUUUUCUGUUGAGGUUUUGGUAAAAGUUCUUUGGAAUAGGACAUCAUAGAGGGUGAGAAUCCCGUAUUUGACCUUUACUUUCAACUUUGUGAUACACUUUCAAAGAGUCGGAUUGUUUGGGAAUGCAGUCCAAAAUGGGUGGUAAAUUUCAUCUAAAGCUAAAUAUUGGCGAGAGACCGAUAGCGAACAAGUACCGUGAGGGAAAGAUGAAAAGAACUUUGAAAAGAGAGUUAAACAGUACGUGAAAUUGUCAAAAGGGAAGCGUUUGACACCAGUGUUGUUUUUCUGAAAAUCAAUUAAAGAACUGUUUAUGCUAAGUUGUUUAGACUUUAUCAGCUAACUGUUUAGUUUUGAGCUUUUCUUUAAUGCACUUUUCAGUUAACAAGUCAACAUCAAUUUCUUUUGCUGUAAAAAAGCUUGAGGAAGGUGGCUUGAGAUUCGUCUUAAGUGUUUAUAGCCUCUUGCCUAUGCAGUCGGAGAGAUUGAGGUCUGCAGCGUAGAUCCUUCGGGGCUAAAUGCAUUUGUGCUAAGUUAUAGCAUUUUAUAGACAACUUGUUGACUAUGAUUUGUCUUGUAGCUUACUCGCUUAUGUUAUUUUACCUACGCUUAGGAUGUUGAGCGCAUGUCUCUCUC
rnacentral:rRNA from 1 species